AGGGGACACUGAGGGGUCCCUGCUCUCCCCAAGGGACACUGGGACCUCCGGGACGUGAGGGGACAUUGAGGGAUCCCUGCUCCCCCCCAUGGGAUACUGGGACCUCCAUGACAUGAGGGGACACUGAGGGACCCUCCAUGUGAUGAGGGGACACUGAAGGGUCCCUGCCAGUCCUUCACACACACUCCCCCGGGGUGCUGCUAUGUCCAUGACAUGAGGGGACACUAAAGGGGCCCCUUGUCCCAAGCCCUGGGGAUGCUGAGGGGCCUCCAUGAGAUGAUGGGCCCAGAGGACACGGGGGGACCCUGCGUGACAUGGAGGGCUGCUGAGGAAUCCCUGCCCUUGGGGACGCCGCGAGGGACCUCGCGCCGGGGAGGCCGUUGAGUGGAAAACUCGCGUUUGAGCUGGCGGAGAGGAGGGUGGGAUGGACGGAGCCGAAAGAGGGAGGCGAGACAGCCGCAGAGAGCGGGGCAGAUGCACCCGACACACGAAUAAACGCGCUGGUAGACCCUGGGUUGGAGGCUUCCUUUUGUGGUCGCCCUCAGGUCCCGCGGUCCCACCUCAGCGCUGCUGGAGGGUUAUUUGAUGUCACUCCUGAGCUGUCUCCCUGCGAGGAAAAUGCUGGAGAUUGGCAUUUAAUGGAAGGUCAGGUCUCUAGCAGAGUUUCCGUUUGCUGCACAAAAUUUGCCAAAAUCAACGGUUCACCGUGACAUUAUGAAAAAAAUAAUGCAAGUAGCUUCUGUGAUCUCCUUUGGCUUUAGCUAAAUUACAAUCCUGGGCUGAAUUUUUGGUAGAGAAGACUUCUCCUCGCUCACUUUUGCCUCUAGCUUAGCUGCCCAGCCUGAAGGCGCUAUUCUCCAGCAAUUUUUGCUGGUGUGCCCCAGCCUCGUGUUUCUGAGAGUCACUGCUGUUGGCAGUCAUCCAAGAACGAAAGAGCAGAAGUGGCAAUUCUUAAACGAGAAAAAAUGAUGAUCUACCACAGCCACUUCUAAAAGGAUUUCUAAGCGAGGUGGAGGAUCAGAAGAGCGUAGGAGAACAACUCUCACUUUUAUGCCUUGGGUGCCCCACGAGGGGAAGGAGUGAUGGGCCUUGAUGGGUUCUGGUUCUCAGGAGCAUUUUGAGCAUGUACCGAGAGCCCGUCCCAGGACUGCGGCUGGAUGCAGCCGUUGCAGGCAAGCACGGUUGCUAGGUUCACAGGAUGGCCAGGAGGAGCAGCCAAACUUCUGUGACUGGAGCAGAAUCAAUACACUGAAUGCAUGGUAACGAAGUACACAAAGAUGUAUGACUCAUAGCUAUGUAAUGUCACACUUGUGUAAUCUUUCAAUGUAAACUCUUUUCCUCUAAUAAAAUGUUAGUAAGUGUACAAUACGUAUAUAUGGCUCUGUGAGUCAGCCAAGAAAAUAUACUCUGAUGAAUUCAGAAUGAAUGUGAAUGUUCCCUUGAUAACACACCCUGAAUGUCUGUGUCAGUUUAUGUUCUUGUGGUUUCAGCAACAGCUAUAACAAAAUAUUUUGUUUCUAGGAUAUACAACUGCAAGUGUAAAUUUUGCUGAGAAUCUCUGGUCAUAUGCUGUCUUCCAGUAGGCACUGGCAGGACAUUUGUUUGCAUUUGCUCCGUCCCCUAAGCUAUGUUGUGUUUUUUUCUUUGCAUAAGGGAAAUGUUUAGUGGGUAGUGAGGAUGAAAGCCAAGUGUAUGAAAUAAUAAAUUCACUGCCUUUGGUUUCUUUUUUGUUUUCAAGUAAAGCUGCUAAGCUAAAAACUCUAAGUAUAUUAAACCUGGGGAGCCGAAUGUGAGCAUGUAUUUGUGCUGUGAGUCACUGGUGCAAGCUGAGUACAACCGUGCCCUGAUCUUCCCCGUGGCCCGUGGUCACUGCGCUGAUGUUUUCUAUCUCUUUGCUCCAUGCAACUUCUAUUUGAAAUAUCUAAAAUCAAGCCCCUGGCACUGGUCCGGCUUACAGCAGUGUAGAUCGGCAGUGAUGCCGCUGGCGUAUAUACGUGAAGAACAAGAGAUUAGGAAGUAUUUGCAAAUCUGCUGCGUGUAGAGGAGUACUAAGUGCUGUGCGAUUUGUCUUCCAGCCAGAGUAAACACAGGCUCUACCAUUUUUGUAUGGCAAAGUUGAUUUUUUUUUUCUAGGUGUUGCUGCUGAUCUCUGUUGUUAUUUCUACAUCAAAAGAAACUUUUUCAGGGAUCGUAGUCAAGACUGCACAGGCUAAUAAACGAGUCAGAGCUGGGGCUGUGACGGGCCUGCGCCGGUGGCGAAGGGCUGCAGCUGGAUGCGCUGGCGAGCGUGCCCACGUCACCUGGCUGCUACGCGCUCUGAGUCAUUGCUGAACUCAAACAACAACAAAAAAAGCGCCUUUCUCAGGGGAGUGUUCUCAGAAAGUUUAAUCCCGAAUGUACCUAGAAUUCACGUAAUAAUAGCAGUGUAAAUGAGAUGGGAAUUACACCUCUACCACCAUUGCUGAUUUCAAAAUCACGGCACUAGCAACACACCGCGACCAGUCAUAUUCAAAUGAGACGAGCAUCGGCGUAGGAUUUCCCUGCCUGUCUCUCUGCCUCCUUCUGCUGACUUACAGCUUUUUUGAUGAUUUAGUUCUAAGUUACAGAUUCCAAGUUAGUACUUUUUAAAGCGUGUUCUCCAAGAAGUUGAUAAAAUGAUGUAAACAACCACAUGAAGUGAAAUACGCAGGUAUUUUGAGAGAGGCGUCUCUUAAUUUUUGAGACUGAUUUAAUCCUGUACGCCUUUUUAUCUCGGUGAAGGCAUAUCAGAAAUUACUUUGAUGAAGGCGUCUUUUUGACUAGUUCUUUCACAACUGGAGUUUGUUCCCCAUAUGGGGGGGCCUUAAAGGUUAACUUUAAUCUUCUCUUUAAUAAACUUAAAUUGAUGGGGCUCCUUAAGUUUUCAGUAUUGACAUAUUUUCUCUCUUUUUUUUUUUUUUUU